rnacentral:rRNA from 1 species
AGCGAACGCUGGCGGCAGGCUUAACACAUGCAAGUCGAGCGGGCAUCCUUGUGGUGUCAGCGGCAGACGGGUGAGUAACGCGUGGGAACGUGCCCUUCGGUUCGGAAUAACUCAGGGAAACUUGAGCUAAUACCGGAUACGUGCGAGAGCAGAAAGGUUUAUCUGCCGAAGGAUCGGCCCGCGUCUGAUUAGCUAGUUGGUGAGGUUAUGGCUCACCAAGGCGACGAUCAGUAGCUGGUCUGAGAGGAUGAUCAGCCACACUGGGACUGAGACACGGCUCAGACUCCUACGGGAGGCAGCAGUGGGGAAUAUUGGACAAUGGGGGCAACCCUGAUCCAGCCAUGCCGCGUGAGUGAUGACGGCCUUAGGGUUGUAAAGCUCUUUUCUUCGGGACGAUAAUGACGGUACCGGAGGAAUAAGCCCCGGCUAACUUCGUG